rnacentral:rRNA from 1 species
GACGAACGCUGGCGGCGUGCUUAACACAUGCAAGUCGAACGAUGAACCAGGGCUUGCCCUGGGGAUUAGUGGCGAACGGGUGAGUAACACGUGGGCAACCUGCCCCAGACACCGGGAUAACCUCUCGAAAGAGUGGCUAAUACCGGAUAUGACCACUUUGGGCAUCCAACGGUGGUGGAAAGGAUUCUGGUCUGGGAUGGGCCCGCGGCCUAUCAGCUUGUUGGUGGGGUAAUGGCCUACCAAGGCGACGACGGGUAGCCGGCCUGAGAGGGCGACCGGCCACACUGGGACUGGGACACGGCCCAGACUCCUACGGGAGGCAGCAGUGGGGAAUAUUGCGCAAUGGGCGAAAGCCUGACGCAGCGACGCCGCGUGAGGGACGAAGGUCUUCGGAUUGUAAACCUCUUUCAGCAGGGACGAAGCGAAAGUGACUGUACCUGCAGAAGAAGCACCGGCUAACUACGUGCCAGCCGCCGCCGUAAGAC